rnacentral:lncRNA from 1 species
GUAUUAAUAAAAUUUGAAUUUCCUCCUCUGUGACGUCAUCAAAAUAGCCAGUAGAAUUUUAAACAAAUGCAAAGAAAUCUCUUAUCAACACACCUUAUAUAUAGUUUACCUUGGAACAUAUUAAGUGUUGCUACAUGGAGGACUUUAAUUUUACAUGUUCUUAGUCUUUUAUUCAAGAAGUUGUUACACUUUUUAAUAUAUACUAGGUGCAGCCUGCUUGAGCGACUAAAGGAGGUACAAGGACUUGCUGGACUAGUGCUUCCUAAUAGCCCCAAGAAGCCCUGCUUCAGCUUUAACGCCUAGAAAUUGUUCAACUGGAUCGUUGUAGAGGCACUGUGGACCAGUCUGAGUAAUUGAUAUAUUCACUGAUGGUGAUCUGUUGGUUCACUAAGAAGUUCAUGAUGCGAUUUCUGGUGCCAGAUCUGUUAUGCUCAUUAUUGGUAGGGAUCCUUCCCGAAAGGACUCCCAUCAAGUUUCUUCUUCUUUUCUCUCAUCAUAAGUACAAUAGUUUAUAAGGAAGUAGGUUUGAACUCACUAUAAAAAGGUGUAAUAUUCAUGUUUGAUAUACUCAAAUUAAAAAUAUAUCUUAUAUAUUUAAA